rnacentral:rRNA from 1 species
AUUGAACGCUGGCGGCAGGCCUAACACAUGCAAGUCGAGCGGUAACACAGGGAGCUUGCUCCCGGGUGGCGAGCGGCGGACGGGUGAGUAAUGUCUGGGGAACUGCCUGAUGGAGGGGGAUAACUACUGGAAACGGUAGCUAAUACCGCAUAACGUCGCAAGACCAAAGAGGGGGACCUUCGGGCCUCUUGCCAUCAGAUGUGCCCAGAUGGGAUUAGCUAGUAGGUGGGGUAAUGGCUCACCUAGGCGACGAUCCCUAGCCGGUCUGAGAGGAUGACCAGCCACACUGGAACUGAGACACGGUCCAGACUCCUACGGGAGGCAGCAGUGGGGAAUAUUGCACAAUGGGCGCAAGCCUGAUGCAGCCAUGCCGCGUGUAUGAAGAAGGCCUUCGGGUUGUAAAGUACUUUCAGCGGGGAGGAAGGUGCUGAGGUUAAUAACCUCAGCAAUUGACGUUACCCGCAGAAGAAGCACCGGCUAACUCCGUGCCAGCCGCCGCAGUAAUAC